UACGAAGGGGGCUAGCGUUGUUCGGAAUUACUGGGCGUAAAGGGCGCGUAGGCGGUGUGUCAAGUCAGGCGUGAAAGCCCCGGGCUCAACCUGGGAACCGCGCUUGAGACUGGCACGCUCGAGUUCGGGAGAGGAUGGUGGAAUUCCCAGUGUAGUGGUGAAAUACGUAGAGAUUGGGAAGAACACCAGUGGCGAAGGCGGCUAUCUGGACGGUUACUGACGCUAAGACUCGAAAGCGUGGGGAGCAAACAGG
rnacentral:rRNA from 1 species